GUAACAGUGCAGUUUGGAAAGCUUUACGAUCAAUUAAUCCAGCCAAGGAGAAGAGCCCGUGGAUGGAUGAGAUUGACCAGUUCCCCGUGGAUGUUCCAAGGGUUGCAAAAAUCUAAAAAUCCAAUUGAGCUUUCAUUUAGCUUAGUGUUCCCGACAUCGCAGGUGAUUAUUCUUUAUCAGUUGCAAUGUGCUGUUCAGUUGUUUCCUUGUGAUUCUCAAGCUAGUCUAUCGCUGAUCUAAUUCUAUUGAGAAGCUUAGAUAGGGAAUUCUACUUGCUCUCCAUUGAGUUAUGAGAAUCAAGCAAGUGUUCUUCUCAUUUUUAUGUUUGUGGAAAUUGAGUUUAGGAUCAUUGACCUGUUGGUAAUUUGGAAUUCAGGGGGUAAUUGCUGA
rnacentral:misc_RNA from 1 species